GACGAACGCUGGCGGCGUGCUUAACACAUGCAAGUCGAACGGAAAGGCCCUGCUUUUGUGGGGUGCUCGAGUGGCGAACGGGUGAGUAACACGUGAGUAACCUGCCCUUGACUUUGGGAUAACUUCAGGAAACUGGGGCUAAUACCGGAUAGGAGCUCCUGCUGCAUGGUGGGGGUUGGAAAGUUUCGGCGGUUGGGGAUGGACUCGCGGCUUAUCAGCUUGUUGGUGGGGUAGUGGCUUACCAAGGCUUUGACGGGUAGCCGGCCUGAGAGGGUUACCGGCCACAUUGGGACUGAGAUACGGACCAGAAUCCUACGGGAGGCAGCAGUGGGGAAUAUUGCACAAUGGGCGGAAGCCUGAUGCAGCAACGCCGCGUGCGGGAUGACGGCCUUCGGGUUGUAAACCGCUUUCGCCUGUGCCGAAGCGUGAGUGACGGUAAUGGGUAAAGAAGCACCGGCUAACUACGUG
rnacentral:rRNA from 1 species